AUGGGUUGCCAAAAAUCAAAGGUA
rnacentral:siRNA from 1 species